rnacentral:lncRNA from 10 species
GGGGACUCAACUUGCCCAAGGCCAGACAGCUUCAAGGCUCAGUUUCAGAAACCAAGACUCCCUGGUCACAACAGAACCCUCCAACUACAGGAUGCAGCAGCUUCUGUGUGUGACUGGAUUGUGGUCUAGGCUUGAGGCCAGCUGACCAGAAGGAAAAAGCAUCACAGCGUUUCAUCUGGUACCAAACAUCAGCACUCCAUCGCUGGAACUAUGGGGACUGGAAACAGCAUACGGGCUCCAGCAAGAGCAUCUGAAGCUUUGUCUCUGAGACUACAUGCUAUGUUUGUUUAGCUGGUGCCUUGGGCUUACUGUCCCACCCGAAAUCUCUGGAAAUCACCCAGGAGGGGGAGGGGGAUUAAAGAUCAUGACUCCCAGGCUGAGCUGUUAAUUGCUGGGGCUCUUCCAAGCCAG